AUUGAACGCUGGCGGCAUGCUUUACACAUGCAAGUCGAACGGUAACAGGCCGCAAGGUGCUGACGAGUGGCGAACGGGUGAGUAAUGCAUCGGAACGUGCCCAGUCGUGGGGGAUAACGCAGCGAAAGCUGUGCUAAUACCGCAUACGAUCUAUGGAUGAAAGCGGGGGACCGUAAGGCCUCGCGCGAUUUGAGCGGCCGAUGUCAGAUUAGCUAGUUGGUGGGGUAAAGGCCCACCAAGGCGACGAGCUGUAGCUGGUCUGAGAGGACGACCAGCCACACUGGGACUGAGACACGGCCCAGACUCCUACGGGAGGCAGCAGUGGGGAAUUUUGGACAAUGGGCGCAAGCCUGAUCCAGCAAUGCCGCGUGCAGGAAGAAGGCCUUCGGGUUGUAAACUGCUUUUGUACGGAACGAAACGGCCUGGGUUAAUACCCUGGGCUAAUGACGGUACCGUAAGAAUAAGCACCGGCUAACUACGUGCCAGCAGCCGCCGUAA
rnacentral:rRNA from 1 species